rnacentral:rRNA from 1 species
CACGCGAGUUAACGCUUCCCUGUUGCGGGAGGCGUGGCGUACGGCUCAGUAACACGUAGUCAACCUGCCCUGAGACAAGUAUAACCCCGGGAAACUGGGAUUAAUCCUUGAUAGGUCAUCUCAUCUGGAAGGAGAGAUGGCUUAAAGGGGUGCGAGAGCUUCUUUCUUGUACCCGCUCCAGGAUGGGACUGCGGCCGAUCAGGCUGUUGGUGGGGUAAUGGCCCACCAAACCUGUAACCGGUACGGGCCUUGAGAGAGGGGGCCCGGAGAUGGACACUGAGAGAAGGGUCCAGGUCCUACGGGGCGCAGCAGGCGCGAAACCUUCACAAUGCGCGAAAGCGUGAUGAGGUUAAUCCGAGUGGUCCCCGCUGAGGGGAUCUUUUGUCGGCUGUAAAAAGGCCGGUGAAUAAGGGGAGGGUCAGUCUGGUGUCAGCCGCCGCGGUAA